UCUUGCCGCUCGUUUCAGAUUCUACGACGUUGCGAGAGAAUCAUUGGUUACGAUCAUUCAUACAUUCUGUUUCUGCCAUAAUCAAGAUAAACUUGGGUUUCACGGGGCUUACAUGUUAUAAAUAAAAACCCUUCGAGAACGACAUAUAAUUAUUAAUUAUGGAAACUUGUAGAUGGAUAUAUUCUCUAAAAAUCAUUUUAAUAAAAUAAUAUUCUUUUCUAAAGUUUUUAUUUCAUCUAUCCAUAUUUUUUUUUUCAGGGAAUUUCAUACCACAUACAUGGAAAUAUCUGUUCUCAAAGAGUUGUCUAACGUUCAAAGGAAAUAAUGUUUUUCAAGAUACCGAUAUAUUUGUCUAUCUUAUUAAAUAUAUUGCAAUAUUUGUUGCAAUAUUUGUCCACUCGCGGCGGAUGAACGUGUAUUUUCUCUUCUAUUUCAAUCUCAACGAAAAAAUAGAAAAAAGAUUACGUAUUUCAAUGAGUAAUACUUGUUCUUUGUAUAAUAUCAAAACGAUCCUGGGACACUCAAGAGGAUUAUUGAAAAUGAAAUUGCAAAGUAUUCAAGGGGUUGGUGCAAAAAAAGGAGAAAGAGAUGUUUAAACGUUCCUUCGAUUGAUCUGCAAUAUUGGGAGGAGAUAAGAAUCUUUGAAUGUUCAAACACGGUAUGUGAAAACUAUUGAGAAUCUUAAUCAAGAACUUAUCAUAUAGUUGAACGUGUGAUGAGCGCAACAUUAUUAAAGAGAUUAAAAUGCUCGAUGGCACCCGUCUAUCUUGGAAUGGCGACGUUCAAAAUAUUAUACCUCUAUCUCUACGUACAAGUCUUGGUAUAAAAUAAGCUUGUUUGUGUGCACGAUUUCGUCGAUUUGGUCGACGAAAUGUCGAUCGAAUCUAAACGUAUAAACAAGUAUUUAAACUCUAAAAUCGACGAUACAAUAAAAAUAGAGUGGCAUUUUUUUUUUAUCAUAUACAUCUAUACGUCAUACGUAUGUAAUAUAUAUAUAUAUAUAUAUAUAUAUAUAUAUAUAUAUAUAAAUCUAUAACUUAACAUUUAACGGGGAUAAGGGGCGGGAAUUUCUUAAAUCAAUUUUGAUUGAUUUACAUGCAGCCAUCGUGUUUCAAUUUACGAUGCCAACGUAACUCUAUAAGCUAACAACCAUCGAUAUAAAUUGUUCGCAAAUGAAAACAAACAAAAAAAAAAA